GCUGCCUGACGCAUCUCCCCUUCCCGCACGGCCUUUCUCUCUCACUGUCGCUCCUCGAUUUCAUGUUGCCACCCACCACUGGCGCCCAGCUCCAGCGCGGCUACCAUGGCAGCUACAGCCGCCUGAUCAUUCGCACCUUCCUUCGACCAUCACCAUCGCCUGCAGACUUCGCCAAGCAAACGCUGCAAAGGCUUUCAUCAAAGGAUUAUAGAAUAUUUCAUCAAGUUGAUUAACAAGAAACAUGGAAAGAACAUCAGCAACCACAAUAGACCACUUGGAAAACUGAGGGAAGCUGAACGUGCCAAAAGAGCUUUAAGCAGCCAGCAGCAAGUUAGGACUCAUGCUUGAUUUGACGAGUUGAACAAUGACCUCUUUAGCAAAAACAUGGGACUUGUCAAGAAGGCUAUGGGGGAUGCUGGUUUGGAGAACCACCAGAUGCAUGAAAUUGUUCCUGUUAGUGGGGCUACCAGGAUCCCAAAAGUCCAAUAACUUCUCAAGGACUACUUUGAUGGAAAGGAACCCAACAAGAGUGUAAAACCAGAUGAAGCAGUGGCUUAUGGGGGUGGUGUUCAAGGAGGUAUUCUAAGCCGGAAAGGUGGUGAUGAAAGCAAAGAUAAAUGCUAUUCAUACUAGCUUUUGGAAGAUAUCUAUGG